ACGGCUGCGAAACUAUUUUCGCACACAGUUGCACAGGCCAUAACGAGGGCUGCAAGUUUGGGCCAUUUAGCAGAUAAAAACUGGAACGAAUGUUUCCAGCUCUUCAAAAUAACAAAUGACUGGUUUGAUGUGCUCAACGUGAGGGUGCCUCACGCUGACUCAAGGAAACGGUGUCACCCUUAUGGCUUAGCGAGGGAAGAGCAGGACAACAUUUUGGAUCAAUGACUGCUUUGGUUAAAACUAUGAGUGUAAUUGGAAGGCAGUCCCUUCUUCCAUUUCAGAAAGUCUGUUCCAAUAGCAGUCCGGUUUACAGGAUUUAGU